UAGUAGGGGGGUCGCCCCCGCUAGAGAGAUAACACCCUUGACUUUUCAAGCACCUUCUGUUUCCUCGGCGGGCUCGCCCGCCAGUGGACAACACAAAACUCUUUUGCAAUAGCAGUACCUUCUGAUAAAGCAAACAAAAAGUUA
rnacentral:misc_RNA from 1 species